UGGCACGAAGGUACUCUUGCACAUGUGCAC
rnacentral:piRNA from 1 species